ACAACAACGGGUUAAACGGCCCUAAGUUGAAGAGUGUCUGGUGAUGGAUGGGUUUAUUUACCUAUAUCCAACUCGCUUGCACCCUAGAUGUUUUUGUUUUGAUGGAUUUUCACUCGGGCCUUGGUCUUUUCUCUCCGUCUUCUUCACAUAUCUUUUUCUUUCACUGUUCUCCCAAGUUUUGAGAAGUAUCUCUAAUGGUGUUUGUUGAUGCAAUGUAAAUUUCAUACCUGCAAGAUUAGCAUAGCAAAGGGAAGAAAAAGAACUCGGAAAGCUACAUGGCUCAACAAAAACAUCUACAUUCAUUUGAGGAUUCUUUUUUAAAGAAAUGCACAGAUAAGGUACUAUAGAAUGUUUGGCACACAAGAUGGGUUGGUUGGGUAAAAAUGCUCCUGUUCACAGGAUUCAUGGUUCCUUACUUGCAGUUGGUGAGCUCUUGAGAAGCAACCCAAAAACAAUUAGGAGAACAAUGAGAGUAAAAAGGUCUCACCCUUUAUUACUUAAAAUCGCACCUUCAUAUCGCCAUUCUACUGAAUGUGUGCGUAAUUUUCCUUUUUUUUCUUUUCUUUUCUUUUUUCUUUUUUCUUUUUUUUUUUUUUUUUUUUUUUUGAGAAGAGGGGAGGUUCUUUGACUAUCUGCCAUUAAGCAAUUGGAAUUUGAGGUUGUAUUCUUAACCUCCAAAACUUUUUUUAGUGAGAAAGUUCUUCCAUUGUAAUAUUUACACCAUAUGUUUUCUGCCCUUGUGCUGGGAGAAAUAUCGGCUUGGCCUGAAAGCAAUCGUUCAAGAAUCAAUGAGAACUCCUAAGGAUGGUACAAACUUCCCCAUCUAAA